AUUGAACGCUGGCGGCAUGCUUUACACAUGCAAGUCGAACGGUAACAGGCCGCAAGGUGCUGACGAGUGGCGAACGGGUGAGUAAUGCAUCGGAACGUGCCCAGUCGUGGGGGAUAACUACUCGAAAGAGUAGCUAAUACCGCAUACGAUCUAUGGAUGAAAGCGGGGGACCGUAAGGCCUCGCGCGAUUGGAGCGGCCGAUGUCAGAUUAGGUAGUUGGUGGGGUAAAGGCUCACCAAGCCAACGAUCUGUAGCUGGUCUGAGAGGACGACCAGCCACACUGGGACUGAGACACGGCCCAGACUCCUACGGGAGGCAGCUGUGGGGAAUUUUGGACAAUGGGCGCAAGCCUGAUCCAGCAAUGCCGCGUGCAGGAAGAAGGCCUUCGGGUUGUAAACUGCUUUUGUACGGAACGAAACGGCUCUGGUUAAUACCCGGGGCUAAUGACGGUACCGUAAGAAUAAGCACCGGCUAACUACGUG
rnacentral:rRNA from 1 species